rnacentral:lncRNA from 1 species
CUUCAUGCACUGCAAUAGUGUUGUUGUUGCAAUAUUUUAUCUGAAACAUUUUUAGCUCAAAUGGAUUUGAUCAAAAUUAGAUCAAAUUUAUUCGUUCAUAGUGUGUUAAUUUACGUUUUUUGAUUGAGUUAAGCCUUCCAAUUGAUAUUUUAUCGUGUGGUUUUCUAUGUUGUGAUGUUAUGCUAUUGUUUCAGAAAAAGGGAGAAGGUUUGGUACCAUUAAAACGUUUAAUCCCGCUGCAAAUGUUUGCACCUAUCCUAAGUCAGGAAUCUGAUGUACAGUAGUUGUCGUUUGUUUACGUAAUUUAUACGUGUUUCUCGUUUCUCGUUUUUUAUAGAUUAGACCGUUGGUUUUCCCGUUUGAAUGGUUUUACACUAGUAAUUUUGGGGCCCUUUAUAGCCUUUUUUUUCGGUGUAAGCCAAGGCUCCGUGUUGAAGGCCGUACAUUGACCUAUAAUGGUUUACUUUUAUAAAUUUGUUAUUUGGAUGGAGAGUUGUCUCAUUGGCACUCACACCACAUCUUCCUAUAUCUAUUGAUAUAUUCAUUCAAAUUUUAAAAAAAAUCAGAAUACAUAAUAUUUGAAAUCACAUGCUAUGAGUAAAAACAUAAGCAAAACAAAUGACAAUAGAUAUCUGUUAUUGUCUCAUGUUCAUCUAUCCCUAUCAUUUUCACAGCAAAAUACACACUAAACUAAGUCAUCAUAGUUGACAUUUAAUAGCUAGUUUUGGAUGUGCAUUUAGUUCCACAUUUUUUUCCAGCUCUUAAUUUCAAUUUGUAUUGGAUGACCUACUGAAUUAGACUUCAUACUGGGUUUGUACUAACAUAAGCAAAACAUGGAGCAGGAUCUGCUUACACUAACGGAUCAACCUGAGAUCACCCCAAGUUUUUGAUAGGGUUUGUGUUGCUAAGUCUUAAGUUUUCUAUGUUUUGUUUUGUGUAAUAUUGUUUGUCUGUGGUAUUUUUCUUUUUUGUCCAUGGUGUUGUCAGUUUAUUUUCUACUUAUAAGUUUUUGAGUAUUGGAAUGCAAGUUAUUCUUGAAUAACUUUCUAAGAGCAACGAAAUAAGUAAUUGAAAGUGUUUCCAAAAAGUUUUUCUAGGGCCAGGUUUUUUUUUUUAUCUUUUGAUGUACAGAUUUUUCACCUGAAUAAGUCUGAUAGGAAUUAAAAUUAAAAUAAUAUUCUUUCCUUGAAUUUCUUUCAAGACAGAAAAUAUGUGAAAAAAAUAAAUAUCUCCUUACUAAAAAUAUGCUUAGUAUGCUUUUUUGUCAUCAUUUCUUAAAUUCUAGUGCCAUAAAAUAUUAUUGAUCAGCAGUGGUAAACAUAAAAUGCAUUCCAUCGGCAUACAAUUUCCAAAAAGGGUUAUGUCCACAUUCAAAGACGAAUUAAAUCGUCAUUUCACGAACAAGAAAAAAACAGAUCCCAUAGCUUUUUAUUAAUUUCAGGAAACUUGAUGAAUAAUGAUCUUCCAGCAAGAAAACUAAUUAAUCAAAAUUUCAAACACAUCUUAUGAAAAUAAGCUUUACCAUUCUUGUCAAAAACAUUCAUAAUAGACUCGUCCUCUGGAAAGACUAAGAUAUCAGAUUCAUGAGUUGUCAAGCAUUUUGUUUGUAUUACACAAGAAAAUUUCAAAUUACAUUUGAAUAUAUAUUAAUUUUACAUCUUCCACGUUUGGACAGAUCCAUUUCAUCUAUGAGAUGAUAAAUCUUUCGGAAUUAUGAAAAAAAAGAGAAAGAAAAAGGGAAAGAAAUUUAUCAUAAUGGGUUUUAAACACAUGUUUUGCUCCGCAAAAUUAUAUGCGCAAACAACAUUUCAAUAUCAAUUAUGAUUGAUUUGUUUAUUUUAAGAUACGUAAACAUACAAAUUAUUUUUGAAUUUUUAUUUUUUCUCAACUCAAUGAGUUAUCAAUUCUGUUAGUUUUUGAUGCAUUUCAUUUCAUAAAGAAAUGGGGAAUGUGUCCAUAGGGACACAGAGGAUGCAUCCACUAGCAUAUAACAUUAUAAAGAGACAUAAUUCAAUAAUGGUAAAAGUGACACUUCAAAAAUUUAAACCUAAACUGAGUUAUGUGGUAAUAAGCAUUUUUUAUACAUUUCAUUAAAUUUAGUUGAGACAAGCUUAAGUUAGAAAACGGAAGCAAAAUAUCAUACGAGGUUAAAAAAGUGGCAAAACUGAAAAAAAACAUUUAUCUAAGUGCUUGUAAGCACUGAAGGGUGAAGAUUGUUUUAAUCUUUUCAGUGAACAUUGCAGUGUAUAAAGUAUUGGUUAUAGUUGAUGCAGUUGUUGAAAUUAAUUUUUGAAAUUGAAUUUAUCUCUCUUUGUCCAUAAUUGUAGUGGUUGCAGUCUUGUAAUUGACUUACAUGCAAAACAGCUGAUCUUUGAAAAUAAAAAAAUAAAAAAUGCUACAUAGAAAAUUGUUUUCAUGUUCAUAUCAUGUAUGUACUAAUGUGAAAUUGUGAUUUAAUCGGAAAAAAGUGGGUCUUGCCAUGAAGAAUAAAAAGUUACGUAACCCUGAAGUCAAAACAUUUUUUUUUCUACUUUCUGUUUGCUGUUUUUACUAGGCCGCACCACUUCCAGUAAACUUGAUAUCCUUCCACUUUACUGGAUUGAUAUCCCAAAAACAAGCAAGAUUUUUUUUUAAAUUAUAUAUGUUUCAAUUCAGCAUAAACCUAUAAUCAAACAGAAAAAAUUGAGUCCAGAAUUUUUUUCUAAUAUAUUGUUUCCCUCCAUGUUUUGACACUGGAGGUGUAAUACAAGACUGGUACCUAGUUGAUACCGACAGACAAGGGUAAAACUAAAUGCCCCCUCCACUACAGCCGGGGCAUAAAAAGAAUAUUUCAAUUUAUUUUAAUCUGCAAAUUGGAACAAGAGGCUCUCAAGAGCCUGAAUCGCUCACCUGGUAAACAAUGC